AAAGGAGAGAUCCGGCAUAGGAUGGACAUGCGUCGCAUUAGGUAGACGGCGGGGUAACGGCCCACCGUGCCGACGAUGCGUAGGGGUUCUGAGAGGAAGGUCCCCCACACUGGUACUGAGACACGGACCAGACUCCUACGGGAGGCAGCAGUGAGGAAUAUUGGUCAAUGGCCGAGAGGCUGAACCAGCCAAGUCGCGUGAGGGAAGAAUGUCCUAAGGAUUGUAAACCUCUUUUGUCGGGGAGCAAAAAGGCUCUGCGGAGUCGUAUUGAGAGUACCCGAAGAAAAAGCAUCGGCUAACUCCGUGCUAGCAGCCGCGGUAAUACGGAGGAUGCGAGCGUUAUCCGGAUUUAUUGGGUUUAAAGGGUGCGCAGGCGGCGUGUCAAGCAAGCGGUAAAAUAGCGGGGCUCAACCCCGUCGAGCCGUUUGAACUGGCGCGCUUGAGUUCAGGCGAGGUAGGCGGAAUUCGUGGUGUAGCGGUGAAAUGCAUAGAUAUCACGAAGAACUCCGAUUGCGAAGGCAGCUUACCAGUCUGCGACUGACGCUCAGGCACGAAAGUGUGGGUAUCGAACAGGAUUAGAUACCCUGGUAGUCCACACAGUAAACGAUGAGCGCUAGGUGUCCGGGUCGCAUGAGACUUGG
rnacentral:rRNA from 1 species